CAUAGUGAUCCGGUGGUUCUGAAUGGAAGGGCCAUCGCUCAACGGAUAAAAGGUACUCCGGGGAUAACAGGCUGAUACCGCCCAAGAGUUCAUAUCGACGGCGGUGUUUGGCACCUCGAUGUCGCUCAUCACAUCCUGGGGCUGAAGUAGGUCCCAAGGGUAUGGCUGUUCGCCAUUUAAAGUGGUACGCGAGCUGGGUUAGAACGUCGUGAGACAGUUCGGUCCCUAUCUGCCGUGGGCGCUGGAGAACUGAGGGGGGCUGCUCCUAGUACGAGAGGACCGGAGUGGACGCAUCACUGGUGUUCGGGUUGUCAUGCCAAUGGCACUGCCCGGUAGCUAAAUGCGGAAGAGAUAAGUGCUGAAAGCAUCUAAGCACGAAACUUGCCCCGAGAUGAGUUCUCCCUGACUCCUUGAGAGUCCUGAAGGAACGUUGAAGACGACGACGUUGAUAGGCCGGGUGUGUAAGCGCAGCGAUGCGUUGAGCUAACCGGUACUAAUGAACCGUGAGGCUUAACCUUACAACGCCGAAGGUGUUU
rnacentral:rRNA from 1 species